UGCUAUCACUCUUGGAUGGACCUGCGGUGCAUUAGCUAGUUGGUAAGGUAACGGCUUACCAAGGCAAUGAUGCAUAGCCGAGUUGAGAGACUGAUCGGCCACAUUGGGACUGAGACACGGCCCAAACUCCUACGGGAGGCAGCAGUAGGGAAUCUUCCACAAUGGACGAAAGUCUGAUGGAGCAACGCCGCGUGAGUGAAGAAGGGUUUCGGCUCGUAAAGCUCUGUUGGUAGUGAAGAAAGAUAGAGGUAGUAACUGGCCUUUAUUUGACGGUAAUUACUUAGAAAGUCACGGCUAACUACGUGCCAGCAGCCGCGGUAAUACGUAGGUGGCAAGCGUUGUCCGGAUUUAUUGGGCGUAAAGCGAGUGCAGGCGGUUCAAUAAGUCUGAUGUGAAAGCCUUCGGCUCAACCGGAGAAUUGCAUCAGAAACUGUUGAACUUGAGUGCAGAAGAGGAGAGUGGAACUCCAUGUGUAGCGGUGGAAUGCGUAGAUAUAUGGAAGAACACCAGUGGCGAAGGCGGCUCUCUGGUCUGCAACUGACGCUGAGGCUCGAAAGCAUGGGUAGCGAACAGGAUUAGAUACCCUGGUAGUCCAUGCCGUAAACGAUGAGUGCUAAGUGUUGGGAG
rnacentral:rRNA from 1 species